ensembl:lncRNA
GAGAAGUUUUCGGGGAGGGGAGUCGGGUGGAAACCGGACGGGUGUGAAUUCCCUUCAGCAGGCUGGUGCAGAGGUUUGGUAGAGAGGAGAUGUGGACGGACCGUGUGCUGCUGCAGAGGGACCCGGCGCGAUGAUCAACGGCGAAUUUCGGUGCUUUACCCAGGAUAGCUGAUCACCCCACCAUAUGUCUGCCAGUUGUCUCCAAAAUCUCAGUGGUAAGUCCUCGAGUGUGUGUUUGUGUGCGUGUGUGUGUAGGACGUUUUCAGCGGUUUUAUAUCGGCAAAGCGAUGACACACAAAGACGAUAUUGAAACGGCAAAGCACAAAUUCGGUUGUCCCGAUCACAGAGUUUGGAAUCAGGGUGUCCGAUCCUUCAGGCUUAACUAAAUAUAGUGAGACUAGAGGGGUAACGCAGCAUCUCAGACAAAUCCAAGCUAUUCUCCCCUCUAAGGGUAUUCCUACCUGCAGUUUUGCAAUCCAGGUUGUGUGUGUGUGUGUGUGUGUGUGUGUGUGUGUGUGUGUGUGUGUGUGUGUGUGUGUGUGUGUGUGUGUGUGUGUGUGUGUGUGUGUGUGUGUGUGUGUGAGAAAGAGAGACGGUUUUGGAGGGAGCAGAGAUCAGGGCUGCAACUUUGGGCCGAGGGAAAGACAAGGCCUGCCACAGAAGGCCGAGCCCCGCAGUAUCGUUCUCUCUCUCCCACUCUCUCUCACCCUUUCUCUCUCCUAGUCAGCUAUCAGAAAAAUAUUAACAGUAAUUAUUGUAUUGAGCUUUCUUGUGAAAAAAAACUCAUCUUUGUGAAUAUGGCGAGCUUUUGGUCGUCAAAGAUUACAUUUUUUGCUGACACGUGGCCACACAUAGCUCUGAUAUAGCUCAAACAAGCCCUUUUGGAAAUACCUGUUAUAACCAAUGUUUUAUGCAAUGUGAAGAAUAACAUAUAAACACUAUUUAGGUUUAUGUAACUGAACCGAAACAGAGCAGUAUGCUGUAUAAGAAACCUCGAUAAGUU